UACGAGUGCCCCCGAGCGUUUAUCCGGAAUCAUUGGGCGUAAAGGGUGUGUAGGUGGUUGUGUUAGUCGAUUGUUAAAACCUGGGGCUCAACCCCAGACAUGCGAUCGAAACGGCACGACUAGAGGAUGCGAGGGAUGUAUGGAACUCAUGGAGUAGGGGUGAAAUCCGUUGAUAUCAUGGGGAACACCAAAAGCGAAGGCAGUACAUUGGCGCACUCCUGACACUGAAACACGAAAAGCGUGGGUAGCGAAUGGG
rnacentral:rRNA from 1 species